rnacentral:rRNA from 1 species
AACUAGUACCGUGAGGGAAAGGUGAAAAGAACCCCUAUUAGGGGAGUGAAAUAGAUCCUGAAACUGUAUGCUUACAAACUGUCGAAGCCCCAUGUGGGUGACGACGUACCUUUUGUAUAAUGGGUCAGUGACUUAAUUUAUGUAGCAAGCUUAAGCCGUUUAGGUGUAGGCGUAGCGAAAGCGAGUCUUAAUAGGGCGAUUAGUUACAUGGAUUAGAACCCGAAACCGAGUGAUCUAGCUAUGAGCAGGUUGAAGGCAAGGUAAUACUUGCUGGAGGACCGAACCAGUUGACGUUGAAAAGUCUUUGGAUGACUUGUUGCUAGGGGUGAAAGGCCAAUCAAACUCGGAGAUAGCUGGUUUUCCGCGAAAACUAUUUAGGUAGUGCGUUGAGAUAUAGAUUUUGAGGGGUAGAGCACUAAAUAGGCUAGGGGGAAGAAAUUCUUACUAAACCUAAUAAAACUCCGAAUACUCAAAAUUGUUCCUCAGCAGACAGACGGUGAAUGCUAACGUCCAUCGUCGAGAGGGAAACAACCCAGACCACCAAUUAAGGUCCCCAAGUUAUGGUUAAGUGUGAAAGGAUGUGAAGACUCCAAAACAGCCGGGAGGUUGGCUUAGAAGCAGCCAUCCUUUAAAGAUAGCGUAACAGCUCACCGGUCUAAUUAAGAGACUUUGCGCCUAAGAUGUAACGGGGCUCAAACCAUACACCGAAAUUGUGGAUUGAUAGAAGUCUUCGGACUUUUAUUUCUGGUAGCGGAACGUUCUGUAAGCCUGUGAAGAGAGACCCGUGAGGGCUCUUGGAGGUAUCAGAAGUGCGAAUGCUGACAUAAGUAACGACAAACAGAGUGAAAGACUCUGUCGCCGAGAGUACAAGGGUUCCUGCGUAAAGUUAAUCUUCGCAGGGUUAGCCGGCCCCUAAGACGAGGACGAAAGUCGUAGUCGAUGGGAAUCAGGUAAAUAUUCCUGAGCCAGGUGGUAGUGACGGAUCAUGUAAAUUGUUAACUCUUAUUGGAUUGAGUUGGCUGUGAAGUGGUCCCAGGAAAUAGCUCCAUCAUAAGACCGUACCCCAAACGGACACACGUGUACCGGUAGAGUAUACCUAGGCGCUUGAGAGAAUGAUGUUGAAGGAACUCGGCAAAAUGCUUCCGUAACUUCGGGAUAAGGAAGACCCAAUAAUGGGCAACCAUAUUUGGGUGGCACAAGCCAGGGAGAAGCGACUGUUUAUCAAAAACACAGCACUCUGCUAACACGUAAGUGGAUGUAUAGGGUGUGACGCCUGCCCGGUGCUGGAAGGUUAAAGGGAGAUGUGCAAGCAUCAAACUGAAGCCCCAGUGAACGGCGGCCGUAACUAUAACGGUCCUAAGGUAGCGAAAUUCCUUGACGGGUAAGUUCCGUCCUGCAUGAAUGGCGUAACGAUUUCUCCGCUGUCUCCAACAUCAACUCAGUGAAAUUGAAUUCUCCGUGAAGAUGCGGAGUUCCCGUGGUUAGACGGAAAGACCCCGUGCACCUUUACUAUAACUUUACAUUGGUAUUAGAAAUGACAUGUGUAGCAUAGGAGGGAGACUUUGAAGUGAUGGCGCCAGCCGUCAUGGAGUCUUUAGUGAAAUACCUCUCUUGUUAUUUUUGAUAUCUAACUGCAUGCCAUUAUCUGGCUGCAAGACACUGUAUGGUGGGUAGUUUGACUGGGGCGGUCGCCUCCUAAAGAGUAACGGAGGCG